rnacentral:rRNA from 1 species
GACGAACGCUGGCGGCAUGCCUAAUACAUGCAAGUAGAACGCUUGUGGAACAAAUGGAGACUUCGGUCAAAAGGAGUUCAAUGCAAGAGUUGCGAACGGGUGAGUAACACGUGGGUAACCUACCUCUUAGCGGGGGACAACUGUUGGAAACGACAGCUAAUACCGCAUAACCAUAGAUAAGGCAUCUUAUCAAUGUAAAAGAAGCAACUGCUUCACUAAGAGAUGGACCCGCGCAGUAUUAGCUAGUUGGUGAGGUAAAGGCUCACCAAGGCGACGAUACUUAGCCGACCUGAGAGGGUGAUCGGCCACACUGGGACUGAGACACGGCCCAGACUCCUACGGGAGGCAGCAGUAGGGAAUCUUCGGCAAUGGGCGCAAGCCUGACCGAGCAAUGCCGCGUGUGUGAAGAAGGCCUUUGGGUCGUAAAGCACUGUUGUAAGAGAAGAACACUUGUGAGAGUGGAAAGUUCACAAGAUGACGGUAACUUACCAGAAAGGGACGGCUAACUACGUGCCAGCAGCCGCGGUAAUACGUAGGUCCCAAGCGUUGUCCGGAUUUAUUGGGCGUAAAGCGAGCGCAGGCGGUUAAUUAAGUCUGAUGUAAAAGGCUAUGGCUCAACCAUAGUAAGCGUUGGAAACUGAUUAACUUGAGUAGAGUAGAGGAGAGUAGAAUUUCUAGUGUAGCGGUGAAAUGCGUAGAUAUUAGAAGGAAUACCAGUGGCGAAGGCGGCUCUCUGGACUCAAACUGACGCUGAGGCUCGAAAGCGUGGGUAGCAAACAGGAUUAGAUACCCUGGUAGUCCACGCUGUAAACGAUGAGUGCUAGGUGUUUGGAGCUUUCCAGCUCUAAGUGCCGCCGCAAACGCAAUAAGCACUCCGCCUGAGGAGUACGACCGCAAGGUUGAAACUCAAAGGAAUUGACGGGGGCCCGCACAAGCGGUGGAGCAUGUGGUUUAAUUCGAAGCAACGCGAAGAACCUUACCAGGUCUUGACAUCAAUUGACGAGUAUAGAGAUAUACUUUUCCUUCGGGACAAGAAGACAGGUGGUGCAUGGUUGUCGUCAGCUCGUGUCGUGAGAUGUUGGGUUAAGUCCCGCAACGAGCGCAACCCUUAUGUUUAGUUACUAACAUUAAGUUGAGGACUCUAGACAGACUGCCAGUGAUAAACUGGAGGAAGGUGGGGAUGACGUCAAAUCAUCAUGCCCCUUAUGACCUGGGCUACACACGUGCUACAAUGGGAAGUACAACGAGUCGCAAGUUGGUGACAACAAGCAAAUCUCUUAAAGCUUCUCUCAGUUCGGAUUGUAGGCUGCAACUCGCCUACAUGAAGUCGGAAUCGCUAGUAAUCGCAGAUCAGCACGCUGCGGUGAAUACGUUCUCGGGCC